UGCGUAACGCCUGGGAAUCUGCCCUUGGGUUCGGAAUAACAGUUAGAAAUGACUGCUAAUACCGGAUGAUGUCGUAAGUCCAAAGAUUUAUCGCCCAGGGAUGAGCCCGCGUAGGAUUAGGUAGUUGGUGGGGUAAAGGCCCACCAAGGCGACGAUCCUUAGCUGGUCUGAGAGGAUGAUCAGCCACACUGGGACUGAGACACGGCCCAGACUCCUACGGGAGGCAGCAGUGGGGAAUAUGGACAAUGGCGCAAGCCUGAUCCAGCA
rnacentral:rRNA from 1 species